rnacentral:tRNA from 1 species
GGGCCUGUAGUCUAGUGGUAUGAUGUCGCCUUCACUCGGCGAAGGUCGCAGGUUCAAUUCCUGCCGGGCCCA